rnacentral:rRNA from 1 species
GUGUCAGCCGCCGCGGUAAUACGGAGGGUGCGAGCGUUAAUCGGAAUUACUGGGCGUAAAGGGCGCGUAGGCGGCCGAUCAAGUCAGAUGUGAAAGCCCACGGCUUAACCGUGUGAAGUGCAUCUGAAACUGGUCGGCUUGAGUAUCGGAGAGGAAAGUGGAAUUCCCGGUGUAGAGGUGAAAUUCGUAGAUAUCGGGAGGAAUACCGGUGGCGAAGGCGACUUUCUGGACGAAUACUGACGCUGAGGCGCGAAAGCGUGGGGAGCAAACAGGAUUAGAAACCCCCGUAGUCC